rnacentral:rRNA from 1 species
GCAAGUCGAGCGCACCCUUCGGGGCGAGCGGCGGACGGGUUAGUAACGCGUGGGAAUAUACCCUUCACUAUGGAAUAGCCUCGGGAAACUGAGAGUAAUACCGUAUACGCCCUUUGGGGGAAAGAUUUAUCGGAUUUGGAUCAGCCCGCGUUAGAUUAGAUAGUUGGUGGGGUAAUGGCCUACCAAGUCUACGAUCUAUAGCUGGUUUUAGAGGAUGAUC